rnacentral:ncRNA from 1 species
AUGAGCUUAGAUGGGGGCUUAUAUGUUCGGUUCGUUUUAUAGCUUUAUGUUAGUUUUAUUUUAUGUCUCUGUUGUGGGGCUAUUUAUAUUAUUUAGUUCAUUAUUAGUUUUGUAUUAAUCAUAAUCAAGUGAUUGAAUAGUAUUUUAAAUAGUACGCAAAGUCGUGCAGCUGGCGCGUAUACGAGGGUGCAAAUAAAUAUUUUGUGAUGUUUAAUGAUGUUACGGAAAUUAAAAUUUUAUUUUUUUUGGGUGGAAUCUUUAAUUAUAAAUUAAUUUCUAUAUAGGUUGUUGAAUCUUUGAAAUUUGAAAUUUAAAACUAGGAUUAGAUACCCUAUUAUUUUGGAUGUUAAUUUUGGGCUUGAGUAGUAAUAGUUAUGUUCUUGAAACUCAAAGAAUUUGGCGGUGCUUUAGACCUUUCAGAGGAACUUGUCCCUUAAUCGAUAAUCCUCGUUGGACUUUACUUAAGUUUGUAUUCAGUUUGUAUACCGCCGUCGUCAGAAUGUCUUUGUAGAGAUGUAAUUUUCUUUAGUUUUUAUUAAAAUAGAUGUCAGGUCAAGGUGCAGUUUAUACUUAAGAGGAGAUGAGUUACAAUAAAUUUAUUUAUAUGGAGUAUUUAUUUUGAAAAAGAAGUGUGAAGGUGGAUUUGAUUGUAAUUGAAUUGAAUUUUAUUAAAUUGAUUUUGGCUCUGAAGCAUGUACACAUCGCCCGUCGCUCUCGUUAUUAAGGCGAGAUAAGUCGUAACAUAGUAGAUGUACUGGAAGGUGUAUCUAGAAAGUU